CUGCUCAAGAAUUCUGAACAUUAAACUGAUUUUCCCAUCAAAGCUGUCAAACGAGAAUUCUAAGAGCUCAUAUGUCCAGCUAGCGUUUCUUUGACCCAUGAAAUUUAACAAUUUUAUUGGUUUCUCUGCAGCAGUGAGCAUUUCUGAUGCUCUCUGAUUGCCACUUGCAGCUGAUGAUCUAAUUGAUAUUUCACAAGGGCGUGAAGAUCCGAUUGUAAUGCAUCU
ensembl:ncRNA F26A10.6 ncRNA